rnacentral:sRNA from 1 species
UUGACCCAAAGACAACUUGCUUACAGGAAUGCCUUAUCACCACCUUCCAGGAAGCCUACUUUGUUUCAGAAAGUUUUGAAGAAGCCAAAGAAAAGAUGAGGUACAGAUUGGCAAUAUGGCCUGUACAAGCACUGUUUGGGGUGCUGCUGUUCCAGAAACACAACUGAUGUCUCCUAGGGGUGGUAAGACAACAGGAUAAGUGCAAAAGAAAUAAAGCAUCAGGUUGAUGCUUAAGGGAUUUCACUGGUAAUACCAAUCCAGAAGCAGUUGCUGUAUACAGUGAUGGAAUGGCCUACUGAAGACUCAUUUAUGACAGCAUUCACUGAAGAA